GACGAACGCUGGCGGCGUGCCUAAUACAUGCAAGUAGAACGCUGAAGGAGGAGCUUGCUCUUCUGGAUGAGUUGCGAACGGGUGAGUAACGCGUAGGUAACCUGCUUGGUAGCGGGGGAUAACUAUUGGAAACGAUAGCUAAUACCGCAUAAUAGUAGAUGUUGCAUGACAUUUGCUUGAAAGGUGCAAUUGCAUCACUACCAGAUGGACCUGCGUUGUAUUAGCUAGUUGGUGGGGUAACGGCUCACCAAGGCGACGAUACAUAGCCGACCUGAGAGGGUGAUCGGCCACACUGGGACUGAGACACGGCCCAGACUCCUACGGGAGGCAGCAGUAGGGAAUCUUCGGCAAUGGACGGAAGUCUGACCGAGCAACGCCGCGUGAGUGAAGAAGGUUUUCGGAUCGUAAAGCUCUGUUGUAAGAGAAGAACGAGUGUGAGAGUGGAAAGUUCACACUGUGACGUAUCUACCA
rnacentral:rRNA from 1 species